rnacentral:rRNA from 1 species
GACGAACGCUGGCGGCGCGCCUAACACAUGCAAGUCGAACGAGCGAGAGAGAGCUUGCUUUCUUGAGCGAGUGGCGAACGGGUGAGUAACGCGUGAGGAACCUGCCUCAAAGAGGGGGACAACAGUUGGAAACGACUGCUAAUACCGCAUAAGCCCACGACCCGGCAUCGGGUUGAGGGAAAAGGAGCAAUCCGCUUUGAGAUGGCCUCGCGUCCGAUUAGCUAGUUGGUGAGGUAACGGCCCACCAAGGCGACGAUCGGUAGCCGGACUGAGAGGUUGAACGGCCACAUUGGGACUGGGACACGGCCCAGACUCCUACGGGAGGCAGCAGUGGGGAAUAUUGCACAAUGGGGGAAACCCUGAUGCAGCGACGCCGCGUGGAGGAAGAAGGUCUUCGGAUUGUAAACUCCUGUUGUUGAGGAAGAUAAUGACGGUACUCAACAAGGAAGUGACGGCUAACUACGUG